rnacentral:rRNA from 1 species
CCAGACUCCUACGGGAGGCAGCAGUGGGGGAUAUUGCACAAUGGGGGGAACCCUGAUGCAGCGACGCCGCGUGGGUGAAGAAGUAUUUCGGUAUGUAAAGCCCUGUCAGCAGGGAAGAAAAUGACGGUACCUGAAGAAGAAGCCCCGGCUAACUACGUGCCAGCAGCCGCGGUAAUACGUAGGGGGCAAGCGUUAUCCGGAUUUACUGGGUGUAAAGGGGGCGCAGACGGCGAUGCAAGCCAGGAGUGAAAGCCCGGGGCCCAACCCCGGGACUGCUCUUGGAACUGCGUGGCUGGAGUGCAGGAGGGGCAGGCGGAAUUCCUGGUGUAGCGGUGAAAUGCGUAGAUAUCAGGAGGAACACCGGUGGCGAAGGCGGCCUGCUGGACCGUGACUGACGUUGAGGCUCGAGAGCGUGGGGAGCAAACAGGAUUAGAUACCCUUGUAU